rnacentral:lncRNA from 1 species
AUGAUCUUUCUUUUCAUCAUUCCUUUAGACUGGAUAUUUUCUCAGGGUGCCCCUCCAGUGAUAGUGGCAAUGUAUUGAGUUUCCCCUUAAUAGCCUCCUUAUCUUUGCAACUAGUCCUAUCAUCUGUAGCUUUUGAGGGAUACUUACUCUUUGGCGAAUCUUCUCUUUCUCCCCCCCCCCCUUCAUGUAUUUGGACAACCAACUUAUUUUUAUCAAUCCCUCAAUAUGAUUUUUUUAGCUAUAUGCAAUCAUUUGUAUUAUGUUAUCCCCCCCCCCCUUCAUGUAUUUGGACAACCAACUUAUUUUUAUCAAUCCCUCAAUAUGAUUUUUUUAGCUAUAUGCAAUCAUUUGUAUUAUGUUCAUGGC